UGAAUAUAGUUUAACAAAAUUUUA
rnacentral:tRNA from 1 species